rnacentral:rRNA from 1 species
CCCUUAGAUGUUCUGGGCCGCACGCGUGCUACACUGAGUGGAUCAGCGGGUCAGGUUGCGCGAAAGUGUUUCCUAAUCUUUAAAUCCGCUCGUGAUGGGGAUUGACGGUUGCAAUUUUCCGUCAUGAACGAGGAAUACCUUGUAAGCGCGGGUCAUCAUCCCGCGCUGAAUACGUCCCUGCCCUUUGUACACACCGCCCGUCGCUCCUACCGAUUGAGUGGUCCGGUGAGGCUUUGGGAUCUGAGCGGAAAUAGCGUUUCGCUGUUUCUGCCCGGAAAACUCAGUCGAACCUUAUCAUUUAGAGGAAGGAGAAGUCGUAACA